rnacentral:rRNA from 1 species
GACGAACGCUGGCGGCGUGCUUAACACAUGCAAGUCGUACGGUAAGGCCCUUUCGGGGGUACUCGAGUGGCGAACGGGUGCGUAACACGUGAGUAACCUGCCCACAACUUUGGGAUAACGCUAGGAAACUGGUGCUAAUACUGGAUAUGUGCUCCUGCUGCAUGGUGGGGGUUGGAAAGCUCCGGCGGUUGUGGAUGGACUCGCGGCCUAUCAGCUUGUUGGUGGGGUAGUGGCCUACCAAGGCGGCGACGGGUAGCCGGCCUGAGAGGGUGACCGGCCACAUUGGGACUGAGAUAAGGCCCAGACACCGACGGGAGGCAGCAGGGGGGAAUAUUGAACAAUGGGCGCAAGCCGGAUGCAGCAACGCCGCGUGCGGGAUGACGGCCUUCGGGUUGUAAACCGCUUUCAGCAGGGACGAAGCUUUUUGUGACGGUACCUGCAGAAGAAGCACCGGCUAACUACGUG